UCGAGAAUCUUCGGCAAUGGGCGCAAGCCUGACCGAGCGACGCCGCGUGCGGGAUGAAGGCCUUCGGGUUGUAAACCGCUGUCAGAGGGGAGGAAAUCCGCAGGAGCAAUCUCCGGCGGUUGACCGAGCCUCAGAGGAAGCACGGGCUAAGUUCGUGCCAGCAGCCGCGGUAAUACGAACUGUGCGAACGUUAUUCGGAAUCACUGGGCUUAAAGGGUGCGUAGGCGGCCUGUUAAGCAGGGUGUGAAAUGCCGGGGCUCAACCCCGGCAUGGCGCCCUGAACUGGCGGGCUGGAGUGAGCCAGGGGUGUGUGGAACUUCCGGUGGAGCGGUGAAAUGUGUUGAGAUCGGAAGGAACACCGGUGGCGAAAGCGACACACUGGGGCUUAACUGACGCUGAGGCACGAAAGCCAGGGGAGCGAACGGG
rnacentral:rRNA from 1 species